rnacentral:ncRNA from 1 species
CAAAAGAUGGUGAAGUAUGCCUGAGUAGGGUGAAGCUAGGGGAAACUCUGGUGGAAGCUCGUAGCGAUUCUGACGUGCAAAUCGAUCGUCAACCUUGGGUAUAGGGGCGAGAGACUAAUCGAACCAUCUAGUAGCU